GAAGCCUGGGGUCAUGACAUGUCCAGGGCUCAGAGCCUGUCCAUGAACACAGUGCUGGGACUGUGAGAGCCUUGACUUUGGUUACUGGAAGAGCCAGAUGAGGAAAAAGGCAGCUUUUCCCCCACCCCCAGCAUCCAGGGAUACAUCCCUCAUGGUGCUGCCACCAGGAAGGGCACAGGAGCAAUGAGUGAGCUCUGGACCAUCUGCAUCCCCUCGGUGGAGACAGGCAGAGGAUGUUCUGAGACCCAAGAGGAUGGGGUGUGGCAGAGCCCUGGCCUGCUGCUGAUCCCAACAAACACAGCUACAUUGAUGGCAUCAUGGCUUGGUGCCUCCUGAAGCCGCCUGUGCCAGGCUCCCCAGAGCCCCACAUGUGGCAGGACCUGGCAAAGAGAGAGCCAUUCCUUGGCCCCUGCAGCAAGCACAGCUCAUUUGGGGUGUCUGGAAAACACAGACCUGCAAACCAUUGCUCUACACCCAAGUGCAUCGCACAGGCAUUUAAUUAGGUUUGUAGUCCCUGAGGAUUUAUGAGUCUCCACCUUCACUAAUUUGCCCCAAUGCAACAUCAGCUGGUGUUUGAGCACCUCCAGGAAGUAUUAACGUGGGGGUUCUGCUGCUGUGGCUGGGACUGCUCCUUACCCCAUCCCUGGGGUGUGCUGGCAGAUGUUCUGCAGAGUUUGCACCUCAAAGCUACUAUUGGAGAGAGGCUUCAUUAUGUGUGUGCUUUCCUGUGGGCCUGGCAGGAAAACAGAGACCAAAAGAAAGGAAAAUAAAAAAACCUCUAACCCUGAUGCUGGAAACAUCUGGAUUUUUAUAUGCGUUUAGCAUCUCAGGAGAGUUUGUUUUUGUUUGUCCUCCUUGCCAAUAAAGUCAAUGCUUUUCACUGAAAUAUAUGGGAA
rnacentral:lncRNA from 1 species